ensembl:snoRNA
CCUCCCGUUCUUGGUGGGCAUGGGACAUGUGGUCUCACUGCGUGUUCUGUACGGAGGAGAGGGAAAGGGCUCCAGCCCACUCAGCAUCACACUUCUGGGUGCCUCCGGCUUCUGCCCAAGAGUUCUAUACUCAAGCUCUGGGACACAG